CGAAGGGGGCUAGCGUUGUUCGGAAUUACUGGGCGUAAAGGGCGCGUAGGCGGCUGCCCAAGUCAGAUGUGAAAGCCCCGGGCUUAACCUGGGAAUUGCAUUUGAGACUGGGCGGCUUGAGUUUCGGAGAGGUGGGUGGAAUUCCCAGUGUAGAGGUGAAAUUCGUAGAUAUUGGGAAGAACACCGGUGGCGAAGGCGGCCCACUGGACGAACACUGACGCUGAGGCGCGAAAGCGUGGGGAGCAAACAGGAUUAGAUACCCUGGUAGUCCACGCUGUAAACGAUGAGUGCUAGACGUUGGGGCCCUUAGGGCUUCGGUGUCGCAGCUAACGCAUUAAGCACUCCGCCUGGGGAGUACGGCCGCAAGGUUA
rnacentral:rRNA from 1 species